CUGGUUGAUCCUGCCAGUAGUCAUAUGCUUGUCUCAAAGAUUAAGCCAUGCAUGUCUAAGUAUAAGCAAUUUAUACUGUGAAACUGCGAAUGGCUCAUUAAAUCAGUUAUAAUUUAUUUGAUAAUACCUUACUACUUGGAUAACCGUGGUAAUUCUAGUGCUAAUACAUGCUUCAAGCCCCGACUUCUGGAAGGGGUGUAUUUAUUAGAUAAAAAACCAAUCGUGGCAACACGUUUUUUGGUGAAUCAUGAUAACUAUUCGAAUCGCAUAGCUUUGCUGGCGAUGGUUCAUUCAAAUUUCUGCCCUAUCACCUUUCGAUGGUAGUAUAGAGGACUACCAUGGGUAUAACGGGUAACGGAGAAUUAGGGUUCGAUUCCGGAGAGGGAGCCUGAGAAACGGCUACCACAUCCAAGGAAGGCAGCAGGCGCGCAAAUUACCCAAUCCCGAUACGGGGAGGUAGUGACAAUAAAUAACAAUACAGAGCUUUAUAGUUUUGUAAUUGUAAUGAGAACAAUUUAAACCUCUUAACGAGAACCAAUUGGAGGGCAAGUCUGGU
rnacentral:rRNA from 1 species